AAAGGGGUGCUACCGCAAUUGCGGAUGCUGAGAACAGACCCAUGGAACCUGAAACGGAUAAUGCCGACGCAGGGAUGAUGAAAUCA
rnacentral:ncRNA from 1 species